GGGGCUGACUAGGUUUCGACGUGGGUUGCAAAGCAGUGCAGGGCAUACCGAGGCCUAGUCACCUCGUAAAUAAACUAGAAAAAGUAUAGUCGCAAACGACGAAACUUACGCUCUAGCUGCUUAAUCCAGCUGGACGCUGCACCAUCUCUCCCGUGGGGUGGGUGGCCUUAAAAACCAUCGCAGCGUCAUAAACACGGGAUACGUGAUGUGUUGGGUUACUUAGCACUUCAUUAACCUUAAGGUAGCUCGCUUAUUUCUUGCUUGCUCGUUGGUGUGGAAUAAGUUAAAUAAAACAACACAGCUAAGUAUGUAGAACUGUCUGUGGAGGACUUGCGGACGGGGGUUCGAUUCCCCCCAGCUCCACCA
rnacentral:tmRNA from 1 species